rnacentral:rRNA from 1 species
GUGGCACGGAGUUAUCGAGCUCGGCUCGACUCUCCCACCCUUUGUGAACGUACCUCUGUUGCUUUGGCGGCUCCGGCCGCCAAAGGACCUUCAAACUCCAGUCAGUAAACGCAGACGUCUGAUAAACAAGUUAAUAAACUAAAACUUUCAACAACGGAUCUCUUGGUUCUGGCAUCGAUGAAGAACGCAGCGAAAUGCGAUAAGUAAUGUGAAUUGCAGAAUUCAGUGAAUCAUCGAAUCUUUGAACGCACAUUGCGCCCCUUGGUAUUCCGGGGGGCAUGCCUGUUCGAGCGUCAUUACAACCCUCAAGCUCUGCUUGGAAUUGGGCACCGUCCUCACUGCGGACGCGCCUCAAAGACCUCGGCGGUGGCUGUUCAGCCCUCAAGCGUAGUAGAAUACACCUCGCUUUGGAGCGGUUGGCGUCGCCCGCCGGACGAACCUUCUGAACUUUUCUCAAGGUUGACCUCGGAUCAGGUAGGGAUACCCGCUGAACUUAAGCAUAUCAAUAACCCUG